AUGCCGGCCUCGUCCACCGUCCACGUGCUGCAGCUGCUGCGGGAGCUGCUCGCCUUCGUGCUCCUCAGCUACACGGUGCUCAUCGGGGCGCUGCUGCUGGCCGGCUGGACCACCUACUUCCUGGUGCUGAAGUGA